AUUGAACGCUGGCGGCAGGCCUAACACAUGCAAGUCGAACGGUAGCACAGAGAGCUUGCUCUCGGGUGACGAGUGGCGGACGGGUGAGUAACGUCUGGGAAACUGCCCAAUGGAGGGGGAUAACUACUGGAAACGGUAGCUAAUACCGCAUAACGUCGCAAGACCAAAGUGGGGGACCUUCGGGCCUCACACCAUCGGAUGUGCCCAGAUGGGAUUAGCUAGUAGGUGGGGUAAUGGCUCACCUAGGCGACGAUCCCUAGCUGGUCUGAGAGGAUGACCAGCCACACGGGAACUGAGACACGGUCCAGACUCCUACGGGAGGCAGCAGUGGGGAAUAUUGCACAAUGGGCGCAAGCCUGAUGCAGCCAUGCCGCGUGUAUGAAGAAGGCCUUCGGGUUGUAAAGUACUUUCAGCGGGGAGGAAGGCGGUGAAGUUAAUAGCUUCACCGAUUGACGUUACCCGCAGAAGAAGCACCGGCUAACUCCGUGCCAGCCGCCGCUGUAA
rnacentral:rRNA from 1 species